rnacentral:rRNA from 1 species
UACGUAGGGGGCAAGCGUUGUCCGGAAUCAUUGGGCGUAAAGCGCGCGUAGGCGGCCCGGUAAGUCCGCUGUGAAAGUCCAGGGCUCAACCCUGGAAAGCCGGUGGAUACUGUCGGGCUAGAGUCCGGAAGAGGCGAGUGGAAUUCCUGGUGUAGCGGUGGAAUGCGCAGAUAUCAGGAGGAACACCGAUGGCGAAGGCAGGUCUCUGGGCAUUAACUGACGCUGAGGAGCGAAAGCGUGGGGAGCGAACAGG